UACUAGCAGCGGGUUUUACACUUCAAGAUAUAGUCUUUCAGGGUAAGUUUAUUAUUUACAUGUAUUGUUUAUCUCGGGCUCCAGAGUAAAGUGGUUAUAGUUCUUUUUAGAUUUUAUUAAAGGGGUCUACAGACUUAGAACUAUAUCUUAAAUUUAAGAGGGAGGUAAUAGGACAAGAAACCAAGUAAGGCGCUCAGAUUCUAGUAGUGAUACCAGUGUAUUGUAGAACAUUAUUAGAGGAGGAAGAUACCCAAC
rnacentral:lncRNA from 1 species